AACAGUUAGGAAACCGAUGUUUUUCGUCUGCGGAACGCGAUUGCCUUUCAAACGAAUUGCGCGUUAGAUCACCGCUCGUUUAUUGCUCGGCGAGAUAUAAAAGAAGUUCGUCGGUCAUAUUAUCGACGAAGUGCUGUUAGGCAAUGAAACCGAUUCCAAUAACCGCUUUCGUUCCAUGGAAAAAGAGGACGUUGCGCAAUAACCGUAAGAAGAAAAAGGGAGAAGGAAAAAUACGGGGAGAACGAAAGAACGGUAACGGAAAGAUAAAAAUAUCCAUGAUCCAAUAGUCGAUAAGCUAUCGGCGCGAACUAGAUCGCAUCUGGGGGCUGCUCGUUUCAAGAUUGAAAAAGAGACACAAAGGUGUGGCCCUCACCGUGUCACAUUUACCCUUUAAAGGAAAGAAAAGGAAACCGAUAUACUCAAUUUCGUUUAUCUAGGAAACACAAAAAGCGACAUCCAUUUGUUUGCACUGGAGGAUUAUCGAAUUUACCAUCUUGAGUCGACUUGUAUUUAUCCGUUGCGAAAGCGAUAAAAUGAUACUACAAUUCUUGUUACAUUUAAUUCCUAUUACUUAAUCAUCAACUACUCAUAAAAGUAUUAAACAUUUAUGAAAAUUUUGUAUGACAUAUGAGAAGAUACAAGUAUCAUGAUCACAUUGAUAAAGUUUGAAACAAAUAUGAAGAUGUAUAUAGAAGUUACAAGAUAUUUGUUGUACACAUACACUUGUGAAAUUAUUUAAGCAAUCAAUUGUCCAUUACUGAGUCCACCUUUAUAACUUACUACCGGAAAAUUAAUUUUUAUGCCAUGAAACAUAGAAUUUUGAUGGAACAAAAAGAAAUGACUGAGGAUAUUAGAAAAAGAAAAUAUAAAUUUGGGAGGCUGAAAUUCAACGAAUGAAUGAAGGUUAAUAAAAGGAAAUGCUCGCGCUAUCAGUUUUUUUAACGGUCACGAGACUGCGAUUAUUACCACGGCCACGGCACAUUCGUUAACCGACGGGCCGUUCACCUUACCGUGCAUCGUCAGUUUGAAUAUGUCAGACGAUAUGUGGCGCUGGUGGAUGAACUCUGUAUCAUUUUGUCAGACGUGUCUGUGCAGGUUCAAGUCAACGGCUGCCCGAAGAUCGCGUCAUGACAUGCUUUCGAUCGACAACACCGUUCAUCAUACUUGUGUUUAUUCUACCCAAAUAUCUAUCAUAAGAUAAUAAUAAUUCAUACUAAUAUUAAAAUAAAUCCAAAAAGGUAAAAGAUAAAUAAAGAAGUUUUUAAGAAAAUUUA